rnacentral:lncRNA from 1 species
GCAGCGGGGCUCCUGGGGCCUGUCGGGAAGGGGCCUGGCGCGCGGGGCCCGCCGGGACUGGGGGUGUGCGGCUGCGCAGACUUGGUAACGCGAGAGCGCGCGGGGAGGGUGUGUCACGCCUCCCGAGACUGGGGCUGUGCGGCCUCACGGAGAAACUGAGGCAGGCGCGAAGCGUCGAGUGCGCGCGUGGCCCUGCAGGCAGGCGGAGACCCUGGUGGCUCCCAUACACGUAACAGCACUCACUGCUCUUUGACGUUAGUGAAUAGACCGUAAGCUCCCUGGAGCAGGGACCUUAUCCCAGCGUCUACCGCGGCGCCCGUCACCUAGGAAACCUCCAUUUUCUAAGGCCUUUCAGCUGAUUGGAUGUGGUCCACCCAUGUUAUUGAAGAUAAUAUUUUUUAAGGCUUCCUCCUUGGAGGGACCUCAGAAGUCCCAGGCUUCAUAGUGUCAAGUUCAACAGAAAGAGUAGUUUUCAUCUUUCCACAGUUCUUAGAAAAGUCCUGAGACUGAGUUUUACUGGAGACUGCCAGGCUGCUGGUAUUCAAGGUAACUGCAGAACUAGGAAACAGGGAGAGGAUGAAGGAGGACAGAGCUCACUGUUUUCAUCAUGACUCAAAUGUUUUUCCAGAAUAAAUGCUCCUAGACUGCUGCGAGCCUUUGGUUACUUUUCAGAGUUCUGAAUACGUGAUUUUGACCAUUUUUGCUAGGCUUCAUGUUGCCUUUAUGGAGGAGAGAAUUUUCAGAGGUCCUUACUCUGUUAAUUUCACUGAUGUCACUAAAGUUACAGUUUUAACUCUUAUGGGUAUCUAUCUUUUCAGGCAAUGUCAGUUUAGUAAAAGGGACAGGAUGUUAGCAAAGGAAGGCAUUACCAGCAAUAAGAAGUGAUAGCUGCCACGGGAAGCAAAUGCAGAAACAGCAGCCUGGGCUGUUCCAUGCAGGGGAGUUCAGCUCAGGUGGGCAAAACCAGAUAACUAACAUGAACAGUGGAACAAUCAGUGAACCAAUACAAGGGUUAAAUAAGCUAGCAAUUAAAAGCUGUAUCACUGGUCUAAAGAUAGAAGAUCAAGUAGAAAAUCAGCGCAAGAGGAAAGAUAUACGAAAACUAAUGACCUUCAAGGUUUGGCUGAACAGCUGAACUGCAGGAUGGAUUGGAAUGCCUAGAACCAGAAACUUAGGAUGCCUAGAACCAGAAACUCAGCCAUUGCUGAGGUUCACUGCUUCUCAGCGCUGCUGCUUUAUACACACAAACUGUAUUCUCUCCCACUGUUUUGUCUUCUUUCAUAAAGCAGGAAACAUAGGUGCUCAUAACUUGUGAGUUUUAAGUCUUACUCUAGAGUUUACAAAUGCAAAUGCCUCUAGGUGCCAGGAAAGUGACAUAAGUAAGUGAAGCAAGCUGAAUGUGCCAAUCCUGAGUGGUGGGGACUGGCAAACUGGAAACCCCAUGCCCUGUCUCCAGAGUCAGCCAUGACUCACUGCCAGUCUAUUGCCAGGUAGGAAUGUGAGCUUAGACUUUCAGAUUUUUCCAGAGAAACUUGACAUCUAGAUUUUUAUGUGAAUAUCCUGAUUUCUAAUGCUGGCAGUGAAUUCAAACUAAAAACCAACACUGUGUUGUCCAAACAAAACACAUUUGUGGGUUACAUUUGACCUCUUGAUUCAUGUGUUACUUUUGGAGUUAAAUAACUCGAGGUCUGAAAAUUGACCACUGAGUUUGGCCACAUCAAGCUUAUUAAUGACCUUGACAAAGCCAAUUUCAGAAGAUGAUGGGGUGAUGCCUGAGUAGAGAGGGUUCAGUAGAGAACUGGGGAUGAGGAAGUAGCUAUGACCUAUAUGGACAGCUCUUUAAAGGAUUUGGCGUAGAGAGGAGCAGAGAAUUGGGGUAAGAGCUGGAGAGCACAGGAAGUUGCUAGGGGAUCUUAAAAGAGGGGACAAAUGACAGAAUGUCUGUUGAUGCUGAUGGAAAUAAUCCACUACAGGGUGAAAACGUCAUGAAAGAGGAGGAUUAUGCUAACACAUGAGGAAUUUCAUGGGCAGGAAGAAAUGGGGACUGGUUUACAAAUGGAGGAGCUGACCCUAGAUAGGAGCCCUUGAAGCUUGUGUAUUGGGACAGGACAGCAGAAUAUAUGGGAGCAGAUGCCUGUAGAUUUAGUGGCAGCAAGAUAAGGGAAUUCUCUUCAGAUUGCUCUAAUUUCUUGUGAAAGAAGAGGCAAGAUCACCAUCAACUGAGGGUGAAGAUGGAAUAGGAAGGGACAGGAGAGGUUGUGAUUCUGUCAUCUUGGAGUAGGCCCACAUCUUGGGGGCUAUCUUGGGGUGCUAUGCCUUACUCCUCUUUUCUGAACAUCAUUAAAAUGUAAUUUUGUAUUUUUGCAUUUAAUGCUAUCCCGCAGGCCCUGAAAGAUGCCUAAAAGGCAGCCUUCCCUCAGGUACCAUUGUGCUGAGGUUUGCCACCCGCAUCUUCUUGAGACAGCCCCACUAAGACAAUGAGAGCGUGUCCUGACCCAUUAAUGUGCCCAGGUUCCCAAACGCCUCUGUCAGCCUGUGGUCUUGACUUUGAAGUAAAACCAGUCCCCUGGUUGCUGUUUCCCCAGCAACAUUAACUGCUGGGGUGCAGAGUGAGGCAGGAGGAGAGUCAGACUUAGCCAGGCUUUGAGUUGCACCAGGCAGAUAAUGUAGAGGGAGGGGGGCAAGUCAUACUUUCCUACUUGUAGAGUAGUGCUUACUUUACAGAGUACCUAUGAAGAUUUGUAAAAAUGCACACUUGGCUUCUGGCCUAGCACAUAGGUAAUUCAGUCAUUACUUGGUGAAGGACAUGAAUAAUAUAUGUAAAAUAUCUGGCCAUUAGAAGAAGCUGGGAAGGGCUAACAGGAUGUAUGAGAGACUGCUUCUGAGUCUUAAUGGCCAGGCAUUGUGCUGAGGCUGUGGGCCAUGGAGGAGCUCCCGUCUUGGCACAGGAGAAAGAAAUGUGGACACACCGCUACCGUGUAGUGUGAUGAGUCUAGGAAUUAAGAUAUACCAGUGGUAAUUAAAUCUCAAAAUAAUAGUGUCUUAACAGAAAUAAACCCAUGCAUAAAUGGUUGGUUGACUUUGACAAAGUGCCAAGUGCACACAAUGGGGAAGGACAAUUGGACAUCCACAUGUAGAAAAAGGUAGUUGGAUCCUAUCACACCACAUAUAAAAAUCAACCCAAAUGGAGUGAAGACUUAAAUGUAAGACCUGAAACUAUAAAACUACUGGAAGAAACAUAGGAGAAAUUCUUCAUGAUGCUGGUCUAGGCAAUGGUUUUUUUUGGAUUUGAUCCCAGAAGCAUAGGCAACAAAAGCAAAAAUCGACAAAUGGGAUUAUAUGAAACUAACAAGCUUUUGCGCAGCAAAGGAAACAAUUAUCAGAGUGAAAACACAGCCUAUGGA